rnacentral:rRNA from 1 species
GACGAACGCUGGCGGCGUGCCUAAUACAUGCAAGUAGAACGCUGAAGAGAGGAGCUUGCUCUUCUUGGAUGAGUUGCGAACGGGUGAGUAACGCGUAGGUAACCUGCCUGGUAGCGGGGGAUAACUAUUGGAAACGAUAGCUAAUACCGCAUAAAAUUGAUUAUUGCAUGAUAAUUAAUUGAAAGAUGCAACUGCAUCACUACCAGAUGGACCUGCGUUGUAUUAGCUAGUUGGUGAGGUAACGGCUCACCAAGGCGACGAUACAUAGCCGACCUGAGAGGGUGAUCGGCCACACUGGGACUGAGACACGGCCCAGACUCCUACGGGAGGCAGCAGUAGGGAAUCUUCGGUAAUGGGGGGAACCCUGACCGAGCAACGCCGCGUGAGUGAAGAAGGUUUUCGGAUCGUAAAGCUCUGUUGUAAGAGAAGAACGGGUGUGAGAGUGGAAAGUUCACACUGUGACGGUAUCUUACCAGAAAGGGACGGCUAACUACGUG